AACGAACGCUGGCGGCAUGCCUAACACAUGCAAGUCGAACGAGACCUUCGGGUCUAGUGGCGCACGGGUGCGUAACGCGUGGGAAUCUGCCCUUGGGUUCGGGAUAACAGUUGGAAACGACUGCUAAUACCGGAUGAUGACUUCGGUCCAAAGAUUUAUCGCCCAGGGAUGAGCCCGCGUCGGAUUAGCUAGUUGGUGAGGUAAGAGCUCACCAAGGCGACGAUCCGUAGCUGGUCUGAGAGGAUGAUCAGCCACACUGGGACUGAGACACGGCCCAGACUCCUACGGGAGGCAGCAGUGGGGAAUAUUGGACAAUGGGCGAAAGCCUGAUCCAGCAAUGCCGCGUGAGUGAUGAAGGCCUUAGGGUUGUGAAGCUCUUUUACCCGGGAUGAUAAUGACAGUACCGGGAGAAUAAGCCCCGGCUAACUCCGUG
rnacentral:rRNA from 1 species